rnacentral:misc_RNA from 1 species
CGGCUACUCUGUCCAAGUACUCCGGGAGAAAACCCAAAUUUACCAUUUUUACUAACGUUUCUGCAGCGUCACGGAAAUGCCCUCCUUUUAUGUAACCCCUUAGUAGCCAUGUCAAACUCUUCUUCUUACGCAUGGGACUUGAAAUCUCAAUCCUGGUAAGCAACCGUUUCAUUGCUUUUGUCUCCUUCUGUGAAGCACAAAUGGCUAGCACAAUAUCGUACAGAUCAGCAUCAGCCUCCUUGCCUACAAGCUUCAUUUCCCAAAGCUGUCUCUCUGCCUCGAGUCCUUGCCCAGCACAAAUGUACAUAGCAAGG